AUCCGGAACCAGAUGCGAAUGUGACCAUCUGACUAGCUUUAGUAUUCUUAUGAAAGUCACCGAAUAUGAGAUACCAGAGAUUCAUGGAAAAGCCUUGUCUAUCAUCACCUUCAUUGGCUGUGGUGUAUCGAUUGUGUGCGCAGUCCUCAUUAUUAUUCUAUUUCUUUGUUUUGGAUUGAUGAAAGAGGAGAGGAUUCUCCAUACCAUGUUACUUGUUGCUAUUGCAGCGGGCCAGCUCACGUUUCUUGU